GACGAAGGAUGCAAGCGUUAUCCAGAUUCAUUGGGUUUAAAGGGAGCGUAGGCGGACUUGUAAGUCAGUGGUGAAAUCUGUGGGCUUAACCCACAAACUGCCAUUGAUACUGCAGGUCUAGAGUACAGUUGCCGUUGGCGGAAUAUGACAUGUAGUGGUGAAAUACUUAGAUAUGUCAUAGAACACCGAUUGCGAAGGCAGCUAACGAAGCUGUAACUGACGCUGAGGCUCGAAAGUGCGGGGAUCAAACAGG
rnacentral:rRNA from 1 species